GAUGAAGAACGUAGCGAAAUGCGAUAAGUAAUGUGAAUUGCAAAAUUCAGUGAAUCAUCGAGUCUUUGAACGCACAUUGCGCCCCCUGGUAUUCCGGGGGGCAUGCCUGUCCGAGCGUCAUUGCUGCCCUCAAGCACGGCUUGUGUGUUGGGCCGUCGUCCCCCUCCUAGGGGACGGGCCCGAAAGGCAGCGGCGGCACCGCGUCCGGUCCUCGAGCGUAUGGGGCUUCGUCACCCGCUCCGUAGGCCCGGCCGGCGCUUGCCGACGACCAUCAAUCUCUUUCUCCAGGUUGACCUCGGAUCAGGUAGGGAUACCCGCUGAACUUAAGCAUAUCAAUAAGCGGAGGA
rnacentral:misc_RNA from 1 species